ACAGCAGCCGCCGCGGGAAAACGGAGGGUGCAAGCGUUAUCCGGAUUUAUUGGGUUUAAAGGGUCCGUAGGCGGAUCUGUAAGUCAGUGGUGAAAUCUCACAGCUUAACUGUGAAACUGCCAUUGAUACUGCAGGUCUUGAAUAAAUUUGAAGUGGCUGGAAUAAGUAGUGUAGCGGUGAAAUGCAUAGAUAUUACUUAGAACACCAAUUGCGAAGGCAGGUCACUAAGAUUUAACUGACGCUGAUGGACGAAAGCGUGGGGAGCGAACAGGAUUAGAUACCCCCGUAGUCCCUGUCUCUUAUAC
rnacentral:rRNA from 1 species